rnacentral:rRNA from 1 species
UUUUAUUGUUGAAUUUAGGAAUCAUUUUCCAGGAACCAGUAUGACUGAUAGCAAGNUUGUCAGAGUGGAUCCAUAGAAGGCCGCCAGUUGUGAAUUGGGUUAUAGAUACCUGGAGUCACGCAGUAACGAUAAUGUAGUGUCCGGGCAUUGAGUUUGGGUACACAGCAAAGCGUAAGCAUCCACCUGGGGAGUACGCCGGCAACGGUAAACUCAAAGGAAUUGACGGGGGNCNGCACAAGCGGAGGAACAUGUGGUUAAUUCGAUGAUACGCGAGGAACCUUACCCGGGCUCAAACGCAGGAGGGAUGUUUUGAAAGGAGGCAGCCAGCAAUGGUCUCUUGCGAGGUGCUGCAUGGUUGUCGUCAGCUCGUGCCGUGAGGUGUCGGCUUAAGUGCCAUAACGAGCGCAACCCCUUACNUACAGUUGCCAUCGCGUGAUGGCGGGCACUCUGUGGGGACUGCCUGCGCAAGCAGUGAGGAAGGCGGGGAUGACGUCAAAUCAGCACGGCCCUUACGUCCGGGGCGACACACGUGUUACAAUGGCAGGUACAGCGGGAAGCCACCCGGCGACGGGGCGCGGAACCCGAAAACCUGUCUCAGUUCGGAUUGGAGUCUGCAACCCGACUCCAUGAAGCUGGAUUCGCUAGUAAUCGCGCAUCAGCCACGGCGCGGUGAAUACGUUCCCGGGCCUUGUACACACCGCCCGUCAAGCCAUGGAAGCCGGGGGUGCCUGAAGUGCGUGACCGCAAGGAGCGCCCUAGGGUAAAACCGGUGACUGGGGCUAAGUCGUAACAAGG